AUGUUCCAAACAAGAUUUGUAUCACUGUGGUGGACUUUUGGUGGAGGAACCAGACUGGAUGUUGGAAGUGAUGUCCGUCCCACCCUGACGGUGCUGUCCCCCUCCAGAGAGGAGCUGGACCAGGGCAAGGCCACGCUCAUGUGUCUGGCCAACAAGGGCUUCCCCUCAGACUGGAUUCUGGCCUGGAAGGUGGACGGCAGCAGCAGCAGCUUGGAGCAGAGCAGGAGCCCCGCGGUGCUGCAGAAGGACGGCCUCUACAGCUGGAGCAGCACCCUGAGGCUCACUGCAGACCAGUGGAGGAAGGUGGGCUCUGUGACCUGUGAGGCCACCCAGGGCUCCCAGACUCCACUCUCAGAGACACUGAGGAGAGACCAGUGUUCCCAGUCCUGA